AGUGAACGCUGGCGGUAGGCCUAACACAUGCCAGUCGAACGGCAGCACAGUAAGAGCUUGCUCUUACGGGUGGCGAGUGGCGGACGGGUGAGGAAUACAUCGGAAUCUACUUUUUCGUGGGGGAUAACGUAGGGAAACUUACGCUAAUACCGCAUACGACCUACGGGUGAAAGCAGGGGAUCUUCGGACCUUGCGCGAUUGAAUGAGCCGAUGUCGGAUUAGCUAGUUGGCGGGGUAAAGGCCCACCAAGGCGACGAUCCGUAGCUGGUCUGAGAGGAUGAUCGGCCACACUGAACCGGAGACACGGCCAAGACUCCUACGGGAGGCAGCGGUGGGAAAGAUUGGACAAGGGGGGAAAGCUUGACCAACCCAUACCGCGUGGGUGAAGAAGGCCUCGGGUUGUAAAGCCCUUUUGUUGGGAAAGAAAAGCAGCAGGUUAAUACCCCGCUGUUCUGACGGUACCCAAAGAAUAAGCACCGGCUAACUUCGUG
rnacentral:rRNA from 1 species